UUUGUCUUGUUCUUAAGUUUGUAUGGCCAUGCCAAAAAGCUGCUUUGUGAAAGGAAGGCAGUGCCUGUCCCUAGUCUGCCCCAAAUGGGCUGAUCCACUGCGAGCCCACUGCGUGUGGGACUUGUCAUGCAGGAGCAGCUGAGAUGUCCCUGUGCACCCUGGUGCACUGGGACACAGUGGUGAGAAUCCAACCCAUAUCCUGCCCUGCAGGAAUCAUUCUCAAAACUGAAGACUCAAGAUACUUGUUUUGAAUGCUUCUUGAAGACUUACUAAAUCCCUGACUUCUCAAUCUCCUGGAAGGAGGGUGUGAUCACUUGUGUCUUACAGUCUGUCCUUGUAUGAGGUACAAUCCUUUGAGCUGCAGAGGCCAUAGGUCUUGUCUUUGGAAUCUUGAUCCUAAGAACACUGCUGUGGCCAUGAAGGGGCAAUUUCAGGAGAGGGUGCAACCUUCUUACUUCAUGCUUUGGAGGAUCAAUUUGAUGUUGGCUCCUGGCAUAUUUGGUCAUUGGGAAUGUGUUCCUCCUUCCCUUAGUUAUGAACUCUGUAGAUUCCGUCUGCCACCAUGUACAGUGGGAUAGGAUAGUUGAUCCAGAAGAUCCAGAGAAAGACGUAGUGUUCUUUGGCCAUGUCUUCAAGUCAUGGAAGAAGCCUUUAACUGUGGAAGGAGGUUUUAUAGUUACCAUGUGGAUAUUGAAUGAAGAAUCUAGAAGAUGCUUCAGACUGCAACAGGCUGCUGACCACUUGCCUUUGAUUGGAAGCAAUCUUCACGAUGUAACAAAUUCUGUAGAAUAUUUUCCUUUUCAAUGAUUCUCUUGUCCUGUGGAAAGACCUAGGAGUUGAAAUAGCCCAGUAAAAGUUUAAUCUCUGUGUUUGAAAUGGUGGGUGUAGAAGGUUGAAGAUGAGUUGUGUUUCAUAGGAGGAAUAAAACUGGUGUUCACGGGUAUUUAUGUUCUUUUGUUGUGCGGGAGAGAGUGGAAUCUUAUCAAACUGCACCAGGGAGAUGUUUUCAAAGCAGGAGACUGUAACUGUCUGUUCUGGUCCUAUGUGAAUGUCUGAGAGGAAUGUUUUAAGUCAGGGUAGCUGCAAGCUGAGCACUCCACUCUAAGUCUCAUGUUUGACUCAUCAACACUUCACAGUUGGCUGUAACAAAUUCCACUGCCUAGUCUAGUCUAAAGGAUCUCUUUUUUUCUUUGCCAUUUGUGCAUCAACAUCCAGGUCUGGUGUUAUGCAGGCACAUAUUUUAAUCUUAUUAGUCAGUCUGGGGCUGAGCAGAUAGAAAGCAGAUAGGGAGAGAAGGAGCUUGGGGUCUUGAUGGACAAGAAGGUGACCAUGAGCCAGCAGUGUGCCCUUGCAGCAAAGGCAGCCAACAACAUCCUGGGCUGCACUGGGAAGAGAGAAGCACUUGUUUCCUGUGAGGAGAGGCCAGAAGAGCUGAGACUGUCCAGCCUGAAGGAGAGAAAGCUCAGGGAAGCUCUUACUGAUGUGUAAAAAAUAACCUGAAUGGGGAGGACAAAGAAGACAGAGCCAGGCUUUCAGUGGUGCCCAGUGGCAGCACAGCAGGUAAAAGGCACAAACUGAAAUAGGAGAUUUCCUCUGAAUGUCUGGAAACAGUUUUUCCAUUGUGAGGGUGACCAAGCACUGGUUUCCAGAGAGGUGGUGGAGUCUCCAUCUGAGGAGAUUUUCAAAGCCUUACUGGACACAGUCCUGGGCAGCCCACUCUAGCUGUCCCUGGUUGAGCUGGGGCUGUGGACUAGAUGAUCAGAAGGUCCCUUAGAGUCUCAGCAGUUCUGCUGUUCUGUGAUAUACCACAUAUCAACACACAUCAGAGGAAGCCUCCCUGUCAGACUUGUCCAUCAGCACUGUCAGGGAAAUGGGAAGUGUGGGAGAGAUACUCCAUUAUACAGACAUUGUAAAGUUAUGGAAUGGCUGAAUGUGAUGUGCAGGUCAUGUCCAAAGUACACAGACUUAUGUGGCAAGUUGGGUGUGAGGCUGGGGUAUACUCACAACAUAAAGAAGCAGAUGAAGAUCUCAGACUUGCUAUUUGAAAUUUUAAGUGUAUCCAGCAAGAUUUGUGUACAGACAUGAGGACAUUUUUGCUCAUGUUCCAGAACCUGGCUAAUUCCAGCCUGGAAAUAUGGCCUAAGAAAUGCCUAAUUUUGGCCACAUGUAACCCCUUAUCUCCUUUCAUACCUCUUCUAUCUUUAGUCCAGAUAAAUGGAGCACUUGCUCAGGGUAUAACAAUUUAGCAACCCUUUCAAUACAGAGUUAAAGGUCUAUAGUGCAAUGUAAGUGAAGGGAAUGACAGAAAAUUAAAACUAUAAAGACAUUA